rnacentral:rRNA from 1 species
UACGUAGGCAGCGAGCGUUGUUCGGAAUUACUGGGCGUAAAGCGCACGUAGGCGGUUCGCUACGUGGGGUGUGAAAGCCCUGGGCUCAACCUGGGAACUGCAUUUCAGACUGGCGGACUAGAGUACGGUAGAGGGCGGUGGAAUUCCCUGUGUAGCGGUGAAAUGCGUAGAUAUAGGGAGGAACAUCAGUGGCGAAGGCGGCCGCCUGGAUCGAUACUGACGCUGAGGUGCGAAAGCGUGGGGAGCAAACAGG